rnacentral:tRNA from 1 species
GCCUGGGUGGCUCAGUCGGUUAAGCGUCCGACUUCAGCUCAGGUCACGAUCUCGCGGUCUGUGAGUUCCAGUCCCGCCUUGGGCU